rnacentral:lncRNA from 1 species
ACCAAUCUAGCUAUGUGGGCCUGGCCCAAUAACUAUUUUACUAUUGAAAAUCUUUGAUUUGUUUGGAUUGAAGCAUUUUUUUGCUAGAAGUACGCAUAUCUCAAGAUAGGCCCGUUAAAAAUAAGUACAACAGAAUAAAAGAUUGCAAAUAAAAUGUAUAUUUCAUUUCAAUAGCAUAUCACAUCAAAUAUAAUACAUCAUCCAUCGACUCCACGCAUUAAGGUUCAACACCUAACAAGUGCAGAGAAAAAGGACCCAACAAGUGCACAAUCGCACAUAAAGAGAGUUCCACAAAGAUUGGAUGAGAAGCACAAGAUUCUUCUCAUCUCUUCCUCCACACAAUAUGCUCUUGUCAUUGCCGCCUGCAAGAAGAAAAUGAUGGUAAUGCUUUCAGACCAAGCAAACUAGUAAAAUUAAAAUGAUGGUAAUGCUUUCAGACCAAGCAAACUAGUAAAAUUGCACGAAGAUAUAUUUUAUUGAAAGCUAUCCGAAGAAAGCAAUCAGGGGUAACGAAAAAGUAUAUGGAUCUGUAUUUUAUUAACUCAAAACGUGUAUAGAUUCCCUUGCUUGUUUGUGAAGAGGUGUGAUGACAAUCGAAUACUAGUUGCCUGAUUGUUUUACAAUACUAUACAUGGUUCAAGCAAUAUAUAAAAUGUACUUUUACUUCUGAGUGCCUUUUGCAAAAUUGUGGUAUAUGCUCUAUGCACUAAAAAAAAAGGUAUAAAUGUUCGCCCACGUGGAUAUACUACUACAUGGAUGAAUAUACCACAUUUUCAAUGGAUAUACUCAUAUUACGGAUGAACAUACUCUAUAUUUUAGUUUCAAAAAAAGAACAAACACUAUAUUCUAAUUAUGGAAAUACAAAUAUACUCAUACUGCAUAGCAAUAUCCUCCACUUAUAAUAAAUAAUUUCACUAGAAAAAGAAUAUAUAUCCAUAUUUCGUACGGGGAGUGCAGACGGAGACAUGUACUAGUAUGUUUCACAUUCAUGUUCAUGUCUGGAUGAUUAUAGUAGCAUAUAUUACUUCUGAUGGAAAAAUCAUGUGAAAGGUGUUUAUGUAUACUGCCAUACUUGUUCGAAAGCUGAGCAGUAACAGAUACUUCAUAGAUGGAAGGGAUAAGGGAAAGCUUAGCAUAUAUUUUUUCUAUUAGUCUAUUUUAUUGAUAAGGAGUAUAGUUUUACUUCAUUUAUGUAUUAGUAAUAGUCAUGAAGGAAAGCACACAUUACUACUAUGAAUCGAAGGUCUUUUCCACACCUAUGCACAAAACUUUUGCUUGAACAGCUACAGUACAUAUGUGAAUAGGUUGUGCCAAUAAGCUUCAUCACACCAGUAAGCUUCACCACAUAUGCAACAAGAAUUCACAAACGAAAGGAUGAUGAGUUCGAAGUCCACAUAUGCAUACAUAUUCAACGAGGAUUCAUGACAACAUGCGUACAUAUGCAACAAGAGUUCACAAACAAAAUCAUGAGUUCCAAUUUCACACCAAGCAUGAGUACUUUGCCGAUUCCUCGUAUCAUAACUUCUCAAGAACUCGAGAAAUUUCUCUUUACCAUAGCUCAAAAGCGAAUAUAUAAUGUCAAUGGCGUGGAAUGCAUUUGACUACAAUACUUUUAUGGAAUUGCAGAAAACAAGUGGAUUAAAAACCUGCUAGUUGAUGCUAUGAUAUUCCACUUCCACCUGCCAUGCCUCUUCCAUCUCUUUACCUUCUUAAUAAGCUUCUUAAAUGCCUGAAAGAAUCAGCGACUCAAAUAAUUCAGUGGAUAAUCAUUGCACAACAUAGGUUACAAUAAUACAUACAGAAUAUUGAUCCAUAUCAAGAUAAGAAAGAACACAGCUAAGACAACUCGCGUGAGAAGAGUCAGUCAUUAAGCAUACACUAUAGCAUAGGAACAAAACAAUGAGAUGACUAAAUAAUAACCAGCAGGUGCACAUUGUUGUAGAACUCACUUAGAAUAAAAUUGUAUUAUUUCCCCGUUAUAUUGCCGUUGUUCUUGUAAGUAAAUUUCUCUCAAGGUCAUUAUUACAAUCAGGUUGUUAACAUCACAAUAAACUUCAAAUCUGAGUUCGUGCCAACAGUGUAAAACUGCAAUGGCAUACCACUACUAUAAGAAACUGUGCAUCCCUCCAAAUGACAAACAAAGAUAGUGAGAUGCCAGAUCCAGCUUGAAGUGUACUGUAACCUGAAGAGAAUCAACCCUUACAGGCAUGUUUAUCGAAGGAAAAACAGAUAUGGAGAAGGCAAGAACUUACUCUGUAGCUCCUGGGAAAUUCAGAGGUCCAUCUAAGAUCUGCAUGUUGCAAAGACACUCUUUUAACAGCAUCAAGGAGACGGUGUUCCUCAAGUGUGUCCUGUCUAUCAAGAACUUGCUCCUGUUGUACAUUUGCAUAGACAGAGAAAAUUAAAUAAGUAAAUCUAUAUCCUAUUAGAAGGAAAAGAGAGAAGAACAAUUACUCGAUUACAAGGUAGGAAAAUAUGAAGCUCCUGUAGAAACAGUCCCCAUCUCCAGUCACCGGUCUAAAUUCAGAAUACACAUCAAGAUGGUCCACUCCUUAUCCCGUAGCCAAAUCGGGAACCAAAUAAUAUUUUCUGACUUUAGUGAUGGGGCGUGUUUGCAAUGAAUAGUGUAAAUACGGGAAUCAAAAUUACAGAGACUAGAAUAUGGUGAAAAAAUAUUUAGUAAUGAGCCAGUUGCAGGUCCCAGAAUCAAAAUCAGCUUCAGUAAUGAGCCAGUUGCAGGUCCACCAAAUCCUGGAGUAAGUAGUCAGUGAUUUUUGCAUGUAAGUGGCAAAUGAUUCACAGAAAUUAUGUCCAGUUAUGCAGCCUUAGAAAUAUGUCUGCACUGACGUAUUAGCUAGUAGAAAUAUCUGAGUUCCUAGGUCGGAUUGUACUGCUAUUUAAAGGGUCGAUGCCCUCGUUGUAACAUCAGGCCAUUCUCAUUCAAACUAUCUAGCCUCAAGUAGUACUACUGCAUACAUGUACGUAUGUGUGUGAGCAGCACUAGUGAGUGUGCUUUGCUAGUGUGCUGAUCGCAAGUACUACUAGCACUUAGCUCUCCCACUCGUCAUAUAAAACAGUAUACUCACAUAAUGGGGCAUGUGUACAUAAAAAAUAGAAGCAAUUGCUUAUAAAAAAUAAAAGAAUCAUCUGAACGAGAUACGAGGUUUUCUUCUCCGAUAGGUCCCUUUUCAACUAAAAUAGCCCGUGCUUUAUCAUCUAAACAUUCCCAAUUUGCUGGAUCAUAAAUAUUUCAAGCACAAGGCUGUUGUGCUGUCACAGAAUCGCUCAUGUUAUUAUCAUUCACAGCAUCGGUACCCUUGCCUAAAUUGUCAGGUUCACUCGCAGCAUUAUUACCCUCGCCUAAAUUUUCUUGACCACUAACGUUAUUAUCGUUCUCAUCUAAAGUUUCAUCUGGUUGUUUUUCAACAAUUGUUAUAGCUAGUUCACAAGAAGUACUAGCAGAACUUGCACUUGGCUUCGAAAUUUGUGAACAUAUCCCUUUUGCGGUUCCAAUUUUUCAUUUGCUAGCUUUCUCUUUAGUCACUUUUCAUGCCGAGACAAUUGUUUUUUAGAUGACAUCUGAGCACAAAAAAAUUAAGUAUAGCACAAGAACAGUUCAUAAACUAAGGGAUAAAACUGAAACAAAAGAAUAUGAAUGAUUAUGGCCAGGCCGGUUGCUUGUUGUCCCCAACAGAUUGAGAUGAAUCAGAAACCACCACAACCAGGCACCAACGCUACAAUCAGGGGUGGUAGCCAAAAAACUCUAGUGUGCUGGAUGGAAGCCUUCUUUGGCUCCCUUUUCUCUAUCAAGCUGGGGACUGGGGAUCGGGGGAGCAAGAGGACCAGGGAGAUUCAGAUCGAGCAGAAUCGGAUGGGGGAAACAACUAAUCCUAGAAUAUAUAUGCAUACCUGAGUCGGGGCCCUUAACGAUUGGGGGCCCUGUGCAGCUGCACCGCCUCCACAUGCUUAGGGUCAGCGCUGCAAGGAGGGCGGAGGUGCCGAGGGUGACACGCGAGGAGGCUGGCGGCGCCGGGGCGAGGAGGUGCGGGGGCGUGGGGGCUGUGCUAUGGUCUACGGGGGUGCGGCGGCGAGGCGGGGGUCGCCGGGGCGUGNNNNN